rnacentral:rRNA from 1 species
CUGGUUGAUCCUGCCAGUAGUUAUAUGCUUGUCUCAAAGAUUAAGCCAUGCAUGUCUAAGUACAAGCGAAAAUAAAGUGAAACCGCAAAAGGCUCAUUAUAUCAGUUAUGGUUCCUUAGAUCGUAUAAAAAAUUACUUGGAUAACUGUGGUAAUUCUAGAGCUAAUACAUGCAUUUAAAGAGAAACCAUUUUAUUAUGGGAUCUCUGCUUUUAUUAGAUUUAAACCAAUGGGCAGCGUUUCGGCGCUGUUAAAAUUUAAACUGGUUGAACUCUGGAUAAUUUGCUGAUCGCACGGUCCAGUACCGGCGACGGAUCUUUCAAAUGUCUGCCCUAUCAACUAUUGAAGGUAAUGUCUUGGAUUACCUUGGUCGCAACGGGUAACGGGGAAUCAGGGUUCGGUUCCGGAGAGGGAGCCUGAGAAACGGCUACCACAUCUAAGGAAGGCAGCAGGCGCGUAAAUUACCCACUCCCAGCACGGGGAGGUAGUGACGAAAAAUAACAAUACAAGACUCACAUCCGAGGCCUUGUAAUUGGAAUGAGUACACUUUAAAUCCUUUAACAAGGAUCCAUUGGAGGGCAAGUCUGGU